rfam:Triticum aestivum genome assembly, contig: Triticum_aestivum_CS42_TGACv1_scaffold_221719_3B
CAUGUACUCCCUCCGUCCGAAAAUACUUGUCAUCAAAAUAAAUAAAAGGGGAUGUAUCUAGAUAUAUUUUAGUUUUAGAUACAUCAUUCUUUGUUCAUUUUGAUGACAAAUAUUUUCAGACGGAGGGAGUAGUAU